rnacentral:rRNA from 1 species
GAUGAACGCUGGCGGCGUGCUUAACACAUGCAAGUCGAACGGUGAAAGAGAGCUUGCUCUCUGGCUCAGUGGCGAACGGGUGAGUAACACGUGAGCAAUCUGCCCCUGACUCUGGGAUAAGCGCUGGAAACGGCGUCUAAUACCGGAUACGAGCUGCGAAGGCAUCUUCAGCAGCUGGAAAGAACUUCGGUCAGGGAUGAGCUCGCGGCCUAUCAGCUAGUUGGUGAGGUAACGGCUCACCAAGGCGUCGACGGGUAGCCGGCCUGAGAGGGUGACCGGCCACACUGGGACUGAGACACGGCCCAGACUCCUACGGGAGGCAGCAGUGGGGAAUAUUGCACAAUGGGCGAAAGCCUGAUGCAGCAACGCCGCGUGAGGGACGACGGCCUUCGGGUUGUAAACCUCUUUUAGCAGGGAAGAAGCGAAAGUGACGGUACCUGCAGAAAAAGCACCGGCUAACUACGUG